rnacentral:rRNA from 1 species
UGAGUACGAGACACUACGGUGUCGAAGCAGUCUAUGUCAUACUUCCAAGAAAAGCUUGCACUGUCAUAAACAAAUAAUGCCUGUACCAUAACCGACACAGGUGGGUAGGUAGAGUAUACUAAGGGGCGCGAGAUAACUCUCUCUAAGGAACUCGGCAAAAUGACUCCGUAACUUCGGGAGAAGGAGUGCCAUAUAUUUUAUAAGGUUGCAAUAACAAGAUCCAAGCAACUGUUUACCAAAAACACAGGUCUCCGCUAAGUCGUAAGACGAUGUAUGGGGGCUGACGCCUGCCCAGUGCCAGAAGGUUAAAGAAGUUGGUUAGUAUUUGCGAAGCUGAUAACUGAAGCCCUGGUGAACGGCGGCCGUAACUAUAACGGUCCUAAGGUAGCGAAAUUCCUUGUCGGGUAAGUUCCGACCCGCACGAAAGGCGUAAUGAUUUGGAUACUGUCUCGGAGAGGGACUCGGUGGAAUAGACUUGUCUGUGAAGAUGCGGACUACUUGCACCAGGACAGAAAGACCCUAUGAAGCUUUACUGUAACUUGAAAUUGAAAUUGGACUUUACUUGCGCAGUAUAGGUGGGAGGCUUUGAGAAUAUUCUUGCGGGAAUAUUGGAGCCAUUAGUGAGAUACCACUCUGGUAAUGUUAGAUUUCUAACUUUGUAUCAUUAUCUGGUCAAAGAACAGUUUCAGGCGGGCAGUUUGACUGGGGCGGCCGCCUCCUAAACGGUAACGGAGGCGCACAAAGGUUUCCUCUGAACGGGUAGAAAUCGUAUCUAGAGUGUAAAGGCAUAAGGAAGCUUGACUGUGAGACCUACAAGUCGAGCAGGGACGAAAGUCGGUCUUAGUGAUCUGACGGUGCUGAGUGGAAAGGCCGUCACUCAACGGAUAAAAGUUACUCUAGGAUAACAGGCUGAUCUCCCCCAAGAGUUCACAUCGACGGGGAGGUUUGGCACCUCGAUGUCGGCUCAUCGCAUCCUGGGGCGGUAGUACGUCCCAAGGGUUGGGCUGUUCGCCCAUGAAAGCGGUACGCGAGCUGGGUUCAGAACGUCGUGAGACAGUUCGGUCCAUAUCCGGUGUAAGCGUUAGAAUAUUGAGAGGAGCCUUCUUUAGUACGAGAGGACCGAGAAGGAUGCACCGCUGGUGUACCAGUUAUUGUGCCAACAGUAAACGCUGGGUAGCUAUGUGUGGAGUGGAUAACCGCUGAAAGCAUCUAAGUGGGAAGCCCACCUCAAGAUAAGUAUUCUUAUCACGUAAGUGAAUAAGGUCACGGUAAGACUAACCG